UGGGGAAUCUUGCACAAUGGGGGAAACCCUGAUGCAGCGACGCCGCGUGAGCGAUGAAGCCCUUCGGGGUGUAAAGCUCUUUCGGCAGGAACGAUAAUGACGGUACCUGCAGAAGAAGCUGCGGCUAACUACGUGCCAGCAGCCGCGGUAAUACGUAGGCAGCAAGCGUUGUUCGGAGUUACUGGGCCUAAAGAGUGCGUAGGCGGUCCUCUAAGUUCGGUGUGAAAUCUCCCGGCUCAACUGGGAGGGUGCGCCGGAAACUGGAGGGCUUGAGUAUGGGAGAGGAAAGCGGAAUUCCUGGUGUAGCGGUGAAAUGCGUAGAUAGCAGGAGGAACACCUGUGGUGUAGAGGGCUUUCUGGACCAUGACUGACGCUGAGGCACGAAAGCGUGGGGAGUGAACG
rnacentral:rRNA from 1 species